CGCGUAGGCGGUUCGGUAAGUCCUGUGUGAAAUCCCUCGGCUCAACUGAGGAACUGCACGGGAGACUGCCAGGCUUGAGUUCGGGAGAGGGAAGCGGAAUUCCGGGUGUAGCGGUGAAAUGCGUAGAUAUCCGGAGGAACACCGGUGGCGAAGGCGGCUUCCUGGACCGACACUGACGCUGAGGCGCGAAAGCUAGGGGAAGGCAAACG
rnacentral:rRNA from 1 species